rnacentral:rRNA from 1 species
ACUCAAAUGAAUUGACGGGGGCCCGCACAAGCGGUGGAGCAUGUUGUUUAAUACGUCACGAACCGUAGAACCUUACCAGGGCUUGACAUCUAGUGCACCGGUGUGAAAGCAUCGUUCCUAGCAAUAGGACGCUAAGACAGGUGUUGCAUGGCUGUCGUCAGCUCGUGUCGUGAGAUGUUGGGUUAAGUCCCGCAACGAGCGCAACCCUCAUCCCAUGUUGCCAGCACAUCAAGGUGGGAACUCUUGGGAAACUGCCGGGGUAACUCGGAGGAAGGUGAGGAUGACGUCAAGUCAGCAUGGCCCUUACGCCCUGGGCUACAAACAUGCUACAAUGGACGGUAGACAGAGGGAACCGAGGCCGCGAGGUGGAGGCAAUCCCAGAAAUCCGUUCUCAGUUCGGAUUGCAGGCUGCAACUCGCCUGCAUGAAGUCGGAAUCGCUAGUAACCGCAGGUCAGCGAAACUGCGGUGAAUACGUUCCCGGGCCUUGUACACACCGCCCGU